rnacentral:rRNA from 1 species
GACGAACGCUGGCGGCGUGCUUAACACAUGCAAGUCGAACGGAAAGGCCCUGCUUUUGUGGGGUGCUCGAGUGGCGAACGGGUGAGUAACACGUGAGUAACCUGCCCUUGACUUUGGGAUAACUUCAGGAAACUGGGGCUAAUACCGGAUAGGAGCUCCUGCUGCAUGGUGGGGGUUGGAAAGUUUCGGCGGUUGGGGAUGGACUCGCGGCUUAUCAGCUUGUUGGUGGGGUAGUGGCUUACCAAGGCUUUGACGGGUAGCCGGCCUGAGAGGGUGACCGGCCACAUGGGGACGGGGAUACGGCCCAGCCUCCUAGGGGAGGCAGCGGGGGGGAAUAUUGCACAAGGGGCGGAAGCCUGAUGCAGCAACGCCGCGGGCGGGAUGACGGCCUUGGGGGUGUAAACCGCUUUCCCCGGGGACGAAGCGUGAGUGACGGUAAGGGGUAAAGAAGCACCGGCUAACUACG